rnacentral:miRNA from 1 species
UUCACAUAUCCACCCCAGAGG